rnacentral:lncRNA from 1 species
CUGGGUGACAGAGUGAGACUCCAUCUCAAAAUAAAAAGAAAAAGGCACAGAAGUGUGUCAACUUGGGAGAAGAAAGAGCCCUCUGACUCCCACUGGCCUCCCUGGGGUGGGGCCCCUGACCCCACUGACUUCCCUGAUGCAUGCCCUCUGACUCCUGCUGGACCUCAGGGAACGCAGCUGUUGUUCUCCGGAGUCGGCUGAAGGUCAGGGUGGUGAAGGAGCUCCGGGGGAAGAAGACGGCCGUGCACAAUGGGCUGGGUGAGAACGGCUCGCAGGCUGCAGGCCUGGACAUGGAUGUCGGGAAGCAGGCCAUGCAGUACCAGGUCCUGAAUGAGGUGGUGAUUGACAGAGGCCCCUCCUCCUACCUGUCCAAUGUGGAUGUCUACCUGGACGGACACCUCAUCACCACGGUGCAGGGCGACGGAGUGAUCGUGUCCACCCCGACGGGCAGCACGGCGUAUGCGGCC